rnacentral:lncRNA from 1 species
CGAAUUAGUUCUACUCUUAAUUGGGGCGAUAUAAGUAUAUAACCAUAUUUGUUAGUUUCUCUUUCUAGUGUCAUGGAACGGUCGGUAUAAAUCCAGAUCACAAUUUCCUUCGUGCAAGCCUCCAUAUGAUAAGAUUCUUAUCUUUGUAGUCUUAGACAUGCCACGUGAAAAGUUAGAACCAAAGAGUUGCAAAAAAAGGAAAGAGGCAUUCUUCCUGAGACGGACUAAAAAGGAAAGUAAGAUAAAUAAAUUGAAAUUGAGGGAGUGUAACUUAAGGAUCUACCAGGGUUGAGAGUGAUUAGAACAAAUGACCAAUCACAUGGUUGCUCAAAGAAAAUUGACUUGCAUGUGAGAGCAUGGGGUGCUAGAGCAGUGAACAUGAUUAACAGAUCCUUUUGUUUCUAAUUAUGUAAACUCUUAGAUGAGAUAAAGCCAAAUAAUUCAAUUUUUUUGGUAACCAAAAGAAACACCAAUAAUUCAAUCUCAUAGACCUAUAUUGUUAGCUAAUUCUCAUCACUUGUAAAUUGUGAAUCUAGUGAUAUAUAGUUACUUUGGGGAUCUUCUGCAAAGUGACUAUCUUGGCGUACAUUUCCCUGCUCGAAACAUAAAAUACAAGAGAAAGGGAUAAAGAUAAACAAGGGCACACCUACUCUCCAACAUAUUUGUUCGUGCUAUAUAAGCAACCUACAUUCUCUCUUUAAAUGUCUGCUUCUUUUAGUUGUUUAGAUGAUGCACUCCAAUUUAACUGCAGAGUGUAGAUGCUUUCUUUCAAUCCCAAGAUGAGUAACGUGUUUGAGUAAAAUUCUAGGCAAAGAGGAUUGAAAAUGGUGUGUACCUGGGGCCUCUUGGAUUCUUGACAUUUGAAGGGCCAUUUUCAUGGAAGAAUAGGAUUUUAGCUUUCGUGUUUGAGCGGCUUCGGAUAAAA